rnacentral:lncRNA from 1 species
AUGAGCCUCUUGAGCGCGGUGCCCGCCAUGGCGGAGCGGGCCCGGUCCUGCCCAGCCCCGACCCCCCCGGACCCCGCAAGCGCUUCCGGGUCACGUCCCGCCCGCCCGUCGCCAUGGCGACCCGCCCCGCCCCCGUCGCCAUGGCGACCGCACCCAUCGCCGCCUCCCCCCCCCCGUCUUAGCUCCAGCGCCGGCGUCAGCAUCCUCAUCAGUAGCGUUAUCGUCCUUAUCGUUCUCCUUCUCCUUGUCGUUGGUGUCAUUGUUAUUAUCGUUGUUCUCAUCAUCGUUAUUGUCAUCGUUAUCAUUAGUAUCCUUCUUAUCAUUUUUGUCAUUUUUAUCAUCGUUAUCGCUUUUAUUAUUAUCCUUUUUAUCGUUAGCGUUAUCCUUAUUCUUGGCAUCAUUCUUAGCAUUAUCCUUUUUAUCGUCGUUAUUGUUGUCGUCAUUAUUAUCAUUAUCGUUAUUGUUAUUAUCGUUGUUAUCGUUUUUAUCAUCAUCCUUUUUAUCGUUAUAAUCAUCAUUAUGAUUGUCAUUAUUAUUAGCGUUCUUAUUUUUAUCAUUGUUAUUGUUGUCGUCAUUAUUAUCGUUAUUAUCGUUUUUAUUAUUAUCCUUUUUAUCGUUAUUAUCAUCAUUAUCAUUGUCAUUAUUAGUAGCAUUUUUAUAUUUAUCGUUGUUAUUGUUGUCGUCAUUAUUAUCGUUAUUAUUGUUAUUAUCAUUAUUAUCGGUUUUAUUAUCCUUUUUAUCGUUACUAUUAUCAGCAUUAUUAUCGUUAUCAUCAUUAUCAUUAUUGUCAUUAUUAUUAGCAUUCUUAUUUUUAUCACUGUUAUCGUUGUCGUCAUUAUUAUCAUUAUUAUCGUUAUUGUUAUUAUCCUUAUUAUAAUUAUUGUCAUUAUUAUUGUCAUUAUUAUUAUUAUCGGUAUAGUUAUCAUUAUCAUUAGCGUUAUCAUCGUUAUUAUUACUAUCGUUGUUAUCAUCAUUAUUAUUAUGAGUGGCAUUUUUAUGGUUAUUAUUAUUAACAUUAUUAUGGUUAUUAUUGUCAUUUUUAUCUUUAUCAUUAGUAUUAUUAUCAUUAUUGUUAUUGUUGUCGUCGUUAUUAUUGUCAUUAUUAUCUUUAUUAUCGUUAGUAUUAUUAUUAUUUUUUUUUUAUUAUUAUCACCAUUGUUCUCGUCCUGGGUUCGACCCCCCGGCUCUGCCCCUUGUCAGCCCUGGGGAGACAACUUUAGAGCAGCAGCGUGGCUCAGUGGAAAGAGCCGGGGCUUGGGAGUCAGAGGUCAUGGGUUCGAAUCCCAGCUCUGCCCCUUGUCAGCUGUGGGACCGGGGGCAAGUCCCUUCACUUCUCUGGGCCUCAGUUCCCUCCUCUGGAAAAUGGGGAUGAAGACGGUGAGCCCCACGUGGGACAACCUGAUGACCCCGGGUCUCCCCCAGCGCUUAGAACGGCGCCCUGCACAUAGUGAGCGCUUAACAAAUACCAACAUUAUUAUUAAUGUGGCUACCCCAGCGCUUAGAACGGCGCUCUGCACAUAG